rnacentral:rRNA from 1 species
AGACGCUGGCGGCGAGGCUUAACACAUGCAAGUCGAACGGUUGUAGACAAUACAGCAGGUGGCGCGACGGGUGAAGUAACGCGUGGAUAUCUGUCCUUUUGGGUUCGGAAUAACUCCGGGAAACUGGAGCUAAUACCGGAUGGUUCCUACGGGAUAAAGAUUUAUCGCCAAAAGAUGAGUCCGCGUACGAUUAGCUAGUUGGUGAGGUAAUGGCUCACCAAGGGCGACGAUCGUUAGCUGGUCUGAGAGGGCGAUCAGCCACACUGGGACUGAGACACGGCCCAGACUCCUACGGGAGGCAGCAGUGGGGAAUAUUGGACAAUGGGGGCAACCCUGAUCCAGCCAUGCCGCGUGAGUGAUGAAGGCCUUCGGGUUGUAAAGCUCUUUUGGCGGGGACGAUGAUGACGGUACCCGCAGAAUAAGCCCCGGCUAACUUCGUG